rnacentral:rRNA from 1 species
GCUUGCUCCUGGAUUCAGCGGCGGACGGGUGAGUAAUGCCUAGGAAUCUGCCUGGUAGUGGGGGACAACGUUUCGAAAGGAACGCUAAUACCGCAUACGUCCUACGGGAGAAAGCAGGGGACCUUCGGGCCUUGCGCUAUCAGAUGAGCCUAGGUCGGAUUAGCUAGUUGGUGAGGUAAUGGCUCACCAAGGCGACGAUCCGUAACUGGUCUGAGAGGAUGAUCAGUCACACUGGAACUGAGACACGGUCCAGACUCCUACGGGAGGCAGCAGUGGGGAAUAUUGGACAAUGGGCGAAAGCCUGAUCCAGCCAUGCCGCGUGUGUGAAGAAGGUCUUCGGAUUGUAAAGCACUUUAAGUUGGGAGGAAGGGCAGUAACUUAAUACGUUGCUGUUUUGACGUUACCGACAGAAUAAGCACCGGCUAACUCUGUGCCAGCAGCCGCGGUAAUACAGAGGGUGCAAGCGUUAAUCGGAAUUACUGGGCGUAAAGCGCGCGUAGGUGGUUUGUUAAGUUGGAUGUGAAAUCCCCGGGCUCAACCUGGGAACUGCA